rnacentral:rRNA from 1 species
UACGUAGGGUGCGAGCGUUAAUCGGAAUUACUGGGCGUAAAGCGUGCGCAGGCGGUUUGCUAAGACAGGUGUGAAAUCCCCGGGCUUAACCUGGGAACUGCGCUUGUGACUGGCAGGCUAGAGUACGGUAGAGGGGGGUGGAAUUCCUGGUGUAGCAGUGAAAUGCGUAGAUAUCAGGAGGAACACCGAUGGCGAAGGCAGCCCCCUGGGCCUGUACUGACGCUCAUGCACGAAAGCGUGGGGAGCAAACAGGAUUAGAUACCCCU